CGCGUAGGCGGUACCUUAAGUCAGAUGUGAAAACCCGAGGCUCAACUUCGGAGGUGCAUUUGAAACUGGGGAACUUGAGUGCAGGAGAGGAAAGCGGAAUUCCUAGUGUAGCGGUGAAAUGCGUAGAUAUUAGGAGGAACACCAGUGGCGAAGGCGGCUUUCUGGACUGUAACUGACACUGAGGCGCGAAAGCGUGGGGAGCAAACAGGAUUAGAUACCCUGGUAGUCCACGCUGUAAACGAUGGAUACUAGGUGUGGGAGGUAUCGACCCCUUCCGUGCCGCAGUAAACGCAAUAAGUAUCCCGCCUGGGGAGUACGGCCGCAAGGUUGAA
rnacentral:rRNA from 1 species